GCCUGGGUGGCUUAGUCGGUUGAGCAUCCGACUUCGGCUCAGGUCAUGAUCUCACGGUUCGUGGGUUCGAGCCCCACAUCAGGCG
rnacentral:tRNA from 1 species